AGAGUUUGAUCCUGGCUCAGAUUGAACGCUGGCGGCGUGCCUAACACAUGCAAGUCGAGCGGCAGCGCGGGAGCAAUCCUGGCGGCGAGCGGCGGACGGGUGAGUAACGCUUGGGAAUCUGCCUGUUAGUGGGGGAUAACUCGGGGAAACUCGAGCUAAUACCGCGUACGCACUACGGUGGAAAGCCGGGGACCGCAAGGCCUGGCGCUAACAGAUGAGCCCAAGUCGGAUUAGCUAGUUGGUAGGGUAACGGCCUACCAAGGCUACGAUCCGUAACUGGUCUGAGAGGACGACCAGUCACACCGGAACUGAGACACGGUCCGGACUCCUACGGGAGGCAGCAGUCGGGAAUUUUGGGCAAUGGGCGAAAGCCUGACCCAGCAACGCCGCGUGAAGGAUGAAAUCCCUCGGGAUGUAAACUUCGCAAGAACGGGAAGAAUAAGUGAGAGUUAAUAUCUCUCACGAUGACGGUACUGUUUGUAAGCUCCGGCUAACUCCGUGCCAGCAGCCGCGGUAAUACGGGGGGAGCAAGCGUUGUUCGGAUUUACUGGGCGUAAAGGGCGCGUAGGCGGCCACCGCAAGUCGACUGUGAUAUCUCCGGGCUUAACCCGGAACGGUCAGCCGAUACUGCGGGGCUAGAGUGCAGAAGGGGCAACUGGAAUUCUCGGUGUAGCGGUGAAAUGCGUAGAUAUCGAGAGGAACACCUGCGGCGAAGGCGGGUUGCUGGGCUGACACUGACGCUGAGGCGCGAAAGCUAGGGGAGCGAACGGGAUUAGAUACCCCGGUAGUCCUAGCCUUAAACGAUGAAU
rnacentral:rRNA from 1 species